rnacentral:RNase_P_RNA from 1 species
UGAGUUGACCGGGUAGCCGCGGAGGCAAUCGCCUCUGAGGAAGGUCGGGGCUUCACAGGGCGGAGUGCUUCGUUAUUGAAGGCAGGGUGACCUGACGGAAAGUGCAACAGAAAAAAAACCGCACCGUUGAGGUGUAAGGGUGAAAAGGCGUGGUAAGAGCACACCAGCACAAUGAGUGAUCAAUGUGGCUUUGCAAACCCCACUCGAAGCAAGAUCAUAUAGAGGUAUAGGGCGGCCCGUCUAGGUAGGUGUUUAGUACCUUCCAUGCCUCUGGUAGAUCGCUUAGAUGGAUGGCUACCGCGGACCUAAGGUCCAGACAGAACCUCGCCUACAGGUCAACUCAGCCC